GCUGGGAGUGGUGGCGAACGCCUGUAAUUCCAGUGGCUUGGGAGGCUGAGAUGGGAGGAUCGCAGGUUCAAAGCCAGCUUCAGCAAAGGUGAGGAACAAAUCAACUCAGUGAGACCCUGUCUCCA
rnacentral:sRNA from 1 species